AACCUUUACAAUGCACGAAAGUGUGAUAAGGGAACCCUAAGUGCUUACACUUUGUGUAGGCUUUUGCCAAAAGCAAAAAUUUUGGCGAAUAAGUGGUGGGCAAGACUGGUGCCAGCCGCCGCGGUAACACCGGCGGCCCGAGUGGUAACCGUCUUUAUUGGGUUUAAAGGGUCCGUAGCCGGCUUAUUAAGUCUUUUGGGAAAUCUGGCGGCUCAAUCGUCAGGCGUCCAAGAGAUACUGGUAGGCUUGGGACCGGGAGAGGUG
rnacentral:rRNA from 1 species